CCUACGGGAGGCAGCAGUGGGGAAUAUUGGGCAAUGGAGGAAACUCUGACCCAGCGACGCCGCGUGCGGGAUGAAGGCCUUCGGGUUGUAAACCGCUUUCAGUAGGGAAGAAGCGAAAGUGACGGUACCUACAAAAGAAGCACCGGCUAACUAUGUGCCAGCAGCCGCGGUAAUACAUAGGGUGCAAGCGUUGUCCGGAAUUAUUGGGCGUAAAGAGCUCGUAGGUCGUUUGUUACGUCGGAUGUGAAAACCUGAGGCUCAACCUCAGGCCUGCAUUCGAUACGGGCAAACUAGAGUUUGGUAGGGGAGACUGGAAUUCCUGGUGUAGCGGUGGAAUGCGCAGAUAUCAGGAGGAACACCAAUGGCGAAGGCAGGUCUCUGGGCCAAUACUGACACUGAGGAGCGAAAGUCUGGGGAGCGAACAGGAUUAGAUACCCUGGUAGUCCAGACCGUAAACGGUGGGCACUAGUUGUGGGAACCUUCCACGGUUUCUGCGACGCAGCUAACGCAUUAAGUGCCCCGCCUGGGGAGGUACGAGCGCGAAGAAGUUAAAACUUAAAAUUAAGUAAAGUUAGUAACGGUCGUGAGACGUAGCCGAACGGACGACCGACGAGGGGAGGGUUAGGG
rnacentral:rRNA from 1 species